rnacentral:rRNA from 1 species
CCUACGGGAGGCAGCAGUGAGGAAUAUUGGUCAAUGGACGAGAGUCUGAACCAGCCAAGUAGCGUGAAGGAUGACUGCCCUAUGGGUUGUAAACUUCUUUUAUAUGGGAAUAAAACGUUCCACGUGUGGGCUUUUGUAUGUACCCUAUGAAUAAGGAUCGGCUAACUCCGUGCCAGCAGCCGCGGUAAUACGGAGGAUCCGAGCGUUAUCCGGAUUUAUUGGGUUUAAAGGGAGCGUAGGUGGAUUGUUAAGUCAGUUGUGAAAGUUUGCGGCUCAACCGUAAAAUUGCAGUUGAAACUGGCAGUCUUGAGUACAGUAGAGGUGGGCGGAAUUCGUGGUGUAGCGGUGAAAUGCUUAGAUAUCACGAAGAACUCCGAUUGCGAAGGCAGCUCACUGGACUGAAACUGACACUGAGGCUCGAAAGUGUGGGUAUCAAACAGGAUUAGAUACCCCAGUAGUC